GGUGCUAACGUCCGUCGUGAAGAGGGAAACAACCCAGACCGCCAGCUAAGGUCCCAAAGUCAUAGUUAAGUGGGAAACGAUGUGGAAAGGCCCAGACAGCCAGGAGGUUGGCUUAGAAGCAGCCAUCCUUUAAAGAAAGCGUAAUAGCUCACUGGUCGAGUCGGUCUGCGCGGAAGAUGUAACGGGGCUAAACUAUGCACCGAAGCUGCGGAUUCAGAAUUUAUUCUGAGUGGUAGGGGAGCGUUCUGUAAGCCGUUGAAGGUGACCCGGGAGGGUUGCUGGAGGUAUCAGAAGUGCGAAUGCUGACAUGAGUAACGAUAAUGCGGGUGAAAAACCCGCACGCCGGAAGACCAAGGGUUCCUAUCCCAUGUUAAUCAGGGUAGGGUAAGUCGACCCCUAAGGCGAGGCCGAAAGGCGUAGUCGAUGGGAAACGGAUUAAUAUUUCCGUACUUGGUAUAAUUGCGAUGGGGGGACGGAGAAGGCUAAGCAAGCAUGGCGAUGGUUGUCCAUGUGAAAGUGAGUAGGGCGUUUGUUUAGGUAAAUCCGGACGAACAUUAAACCUGAGACACGAGACGAGUCACUACGGUGAUGAAGUUGCUGAUGCCAUACUUCCAGGAAAAGCCUCUAAGCUUCAGAUUAUACCGAAUCGUACCCCAAACCGACACAGGUGGUCAGGUAGAGAAUACUAAGGCGCUUGAGAGAACUCGGGUGAAGGAACUAGGCAAAAUCGUACCGUAACUUCGGGAGAAGGUACGCUCCUAUCUGUGAUGAGACUUGCUCUCUAAGCGGACGGGAGCCGCAGUGACCAGGUGGCUGGGACUGUUUAUUAAAAACACAGCACUGUGCAAAAUCGCAAGAUGACGUAUACGGUGUGACACCUGCCCGGUGCCGGAAGGUUAAUUGAUGGGGUUAUCUUCGGAGAAGCUCUUGAUCGAAGCCCCGGUAAACGGCGGCCGUAACUAUAACGGUCCUAAGGUAGCGAAAUUCCUUGUCGGGUAAGUUCCGACCUGCACGAAUGGUGUAACCAUGGCCACGCUGUCUCCACCCGAGACUCAGUGAAAUUGAAAUCGCAGUGAAGAUGCUGUGUACCCGCGGCUAGACGGAAAGACCCCGUGAACCUUUACUAUAGCUUCACAGUGGACUUUGAACCUGUUUGUGUAGGAUAGCUGGGAGACUUUGAAGCAGUGACGCUAGUUACUGUGGAGUCGUCCUUGAAAUACCAGCCUGGCAUGUUUGAGGUUCUAACCUAGGUCCCUUAUCGGGAUCGGGGACAUUGUGUGGUGGGUAGUUUGACUGGGGCGGUCUCCUCCCAAAGAGUAACGGAGGAGCACAAAGGUACCCUCAGCACGGUCGGACAUCGUGCAACGAGCGUAAAGGUAGAAGGGUGCUUGACUGCGAGACCUACAAGUCGAGCAGGUGCGAAAGCAGGUCUUAGUGAUCCGGUGGUUCUGUAUGGAAGGGCCAUCGCUCAACGGAUAAAAGGUACUCCGGGGAUAACAGGCUGAUACCGCCCAAGAGUUCAUAUCGACGGCGGUGUUUGGCACCUCGAUGUCG
rnacentral:rRNA from 1 species